UGGGAACGUAUAUGGGCUGAUGAUGAUGGUGAAGGUCAAAACGCGAGUCUUAUCAUUUUCAAAUCGUUAAUGCACACAAAAAUUAUAUGCCCUGAACAUCGAGAAUGAAAACUAAAGUUAAUUAAACAAGAGAGUUCUAAAAAAUAAUCACACAGUUAAUUAAGUUAAUUAAAAACUGCGAAUAAAAAGUCGACUCCUAAGGAGAGGCAAUCAUAUCGACAUGAUUGCCGCCCAUUUGAUAUUUGCUCUUGUGAUAAUAAAUUGUGUCAUCGCAACCAAUCACAACGAUGUAGAUGAAGAAGACGUAGAAAUCGUUAUAAGCCUGAAAGAAUUGUUAGGUCCUAAAGAUGAUUCGAACAAUCCAGAUCAUGGGAAUCUUCGAAAUAGGAGACCAGGAAAGAUACAAACAAGACCAUAUAUUAUACCAAAUGAAUACCAACGAGAGAAGUUAAGGAUAAAAUUUCGAGAUGCAUGGAACAUUUUCCAAGAUAUUUAUGGAAUUUUUAGUUUUUAACAAAUAAACUUUAAAAUUGA